rnacentral:rRNA from 1 species
CAGAGACUGCAAGCGUUAUUCGGAUUCACUGGGCGUAAAGGGUGCGCAGGCGGCCAAGUGUGUUAGGCGUGAAAGCCCGGAGCUUAACUCCGGAAUUGCACCUAAAACUACAUGGCUAGAGCAUUGGAGAGGGUAGCGGAAUUCACGGUGUAGCAGUGAAAUGCGUAGAUAUCGUGAGGAACACCAGAGGCGAAGGCGGCUACCUGGACAAUUGCUGACGCUCAGGCACGAAAGCGUGGGGAGCAAAAGGGAUUAGAUACCCCUGUAGUCCACGCCCUAAACGGUGCACACUAGGUCUUGGCGGGUUCGACCCCACCAGGGCCCAAGCUAACGCGUUAAGUGUGCCGCCUGAGGACUACGGUCGCAAGACUA